GAUUGGUGCUUGCAUCAUGAUUUACAUUUGAGUGAGUGGCGAACUGGUGAGUAACACGUGGGAAACCUGCCCAGAAGCGGGGGAUAACACCUGGAAACAGAUGCUAAUACCGCAUAACAACUUGGACCGCAUGGUCCGAGUUUGAAAGAUGGCUUCGGCUAUCACUUUUGGAUGGUCCCGCGGCGUAUUAGCUAGAUGGUGGGGUAACGGCUCACCAUGGCAAUGAUACGUAGCCGACCUGAGAGGGUAAUCGGCCACAUUGGGACUGAGACACGGCCCAAACUCCUACGGGAGGCAGCAGUAGGGAAUCUUCCACAAUGGACGAAAGUCUGAUGGAGCAACGCCGCGUGAGUGAAGAAGGGUUUCGGCUCGUAAAACUCUGUUGUUAAAGAAGAACAUAUCUGAGAGUAACUGUUCAGGUAUUGACGGUAUUUAACCAGAAAGCCACGGCUAACUACGUGCCAGCAGCCGCGGUAAUACGUAGGUGGCAAGCGUUGUCCGGAUUUAUUGGGCGUAAAGCGAGCGCAGGCGGUUUUUUAAGUCUGAUGUGAAAGCCUUCGGCUCAACCGAAGAAGUGCAUCGGAAACUGGGAAACUUGAGUGCAGAAGAGGACAGUGGAACUCCAUGUGUAGCGGUGAAAUGCGUAGAUAUAUGGAAGAACACCAGUGGCGAAGGCGGCUGUCUGGUCUGUAACUGACGCUGAGGCUCGAAAGUAUGGGUAGCAAACAGGAUUAGAUACCCUGGUAGUCCAUACCGUAAACGAUGAAUGCUAAGUGUUGGAGGGUUUCCGCCCUUCAGUGCUGCAGCUAACGCAUUAAGCAUUCCGCCUGGGGAGUACGGCCGCAAGGCUGAAACUCAAAGGAAUUGACGGGGGCCCGCACAAGCGGUGGAGCAUGUGGUUUAAUUCGAAGCUACGCGAAGAACCUUACCAGGUCUUGACAUACUAUGCAAAUCUAAGAGAUUAGACGUUCCCUUCGGGGACAUGGAUACAGGUGGUGCAUGGUUGUCGUCAGCUCGUGUCGUGAGAUGUUGGGUUAAGUCCCGCAACGAGCGCAACCCUUAUUAUCAGUUGCCAGCAUUAAGUUGGGCACUCUGGUGAGACUGCCGGUGACAAACCGGAGGAAGGUGGGGAUGACGUCAAAUCAUCAUGCCCCUUAUGACCUGGGCUACACACGUGCUACAAUGGAUGGUACAACGAGUUGCGAACUCGCGAGAGUAAGCUAAUCUCUUAAAGCCAUUCUCAGUUCGGAUUGUAGGCUGCAACUCGCCUACAUGAAGUCGGAAUCGCUAGUAAUCGCGGAUCAGCAUGCCGCGGUGAAUACGUUCCCGGGCCUUGUACACACCGCCCGUCACACCAUGAGAGUUUGUAACACCC
rnacentral:rRNA from 3 species